UGGGGAAUAUUGGACAAUGGGCGAAAGCCUGAUCCAGCCAUGCCGCGUGAGUGACGAAGGCCUUAGGGUUGUAAAACUCUUUCGUCGGGGACGAUAAUGACGGUACCCGAAGAAGAAGCUCCGGCCAACUUCGUGCCAGCAGCCGCGGUAAAACGUAGGAGACAAACGUUAUCCGGAGUUACUGGGCGUAAAGGGCGUGCAGGCGGCAGUCUAAGUCUGGCGUGAAAUAUCCCGGCUCAACCGGGGAAGGUCGUCGGAUACUGGGCAGCUAGAGGACGGUAGAGGCGUGUGGAAUUCCGGGUGUAGUGGUGAAAUGCGUAGAGAUCCGGAGGAACACCAGUGGCGAAGGCGACACGCUGGGCCGUACCUGACGCUAAGACGCGACAGCAUGGGGAGCAAACAGGAUUAGAUACCCAAGUAGUCCCUGAGCGGGCUGGCAAGGCGCAU
rnacentral:rRNA from 1 species